AGUAAAAUGGCUGAUAUUAGGUAAUAAAUUGUAAAUUUAUUAAUGAGAUUAUUAUCUCUUUUACUA
rnacentral:tRNA from 1 species